rnacentral:misc_RNA from 1 species
AACGCAACCGGCGCCGGUUUACCGGCAUGCCUGUUUCAGUGUGCUAGGAGAGUAAAUAUCAUUAUAAAAUAUAAUGCGAUUGAGGUACAUUUAUGUUCUUCUUUCGAUAAAUAUGAAGGUGUGAAAGAUGAGUAAUCUCUCACACUGGUAAACGAAGUAGUCAUGCUUGUUCGUGAACUCGUUUAACCAGUGCUAAAGGUUUUUGCUUAGCUAUAAAUCACAUCUAAUCAAUUAAAUAUCUCCACAAUUGGCAUCUGUAAUCAGCCAAGGAUACCCGCUGAAAU